rnacentral:lncRNA from 1 species
UAAUUGUUCUUUAUUAUAACUACCCUGUUUCCCCUAAAAUAAGACAUCCCCAGAAAAUAAGACCUAGUAGAGGUUUUGCUGAAUUGCUAAAUAUAAGGCCUCCCCCGAAAGUAAGACCUAGCAAAGUUUUUGUUUGGAAGCAUGCCCGCCGAACAGAACACCAGAGCAUGCAGGAUCGGUAAAUGUACGUACCAUAGAAUGUUGUACAUGGAAAUAUUGGUAGUAACAAGAAAUUCUUGAUAGGAUUCACAGUUUGUCUGGUUAUGCUGGUUUGUGAUGACAACUACAGUACAGUAUAUAAUAUUCACAUUUAUUGUGGAACAAAAAAAAUGAACAUUAUAUACUGUACAGUAGUUGUCAUCACAAACCAGCAUAACCAGACAAACUGUGAAUCCUAUCAAGAAUUUCUUAUUACUACAAUUAUUUCCAUGUAUAUGAUACAUACAUUUAUCCAUCCUGCAUGCUCUGGUGUUCUGUUCGGCAGGCAUGCUUCCAAACAAAAACUUUGCUAGGUCUUACUUUCAGGGGAGGCCUUAUAUUUAGCAAUUCACAAAACCUCUACUAGAUCUUAUUUUCUGGUGAUGUCUUAUUUUAGGGGAAACAGGGUAGCUAUUUCUGAAACCAGAUAGUUAUCAGAUUCAUUGUGUUUAUGCAAAUAUAGAUGAUCUUCUGUAUCAGCUAGAUAAGCUCAAGAUGUUUGUCCAUUCAAUCUGAGGCUGAGAGUCUGCCGCUCCCCACAUUUAUUUACCUGCUUUACUGACAGCCAAAUCCUUGAUUGCCUACAAAGCCAGCACCCAGACAGACAGAUCAUCUUCAGCAGCAGACAAGACCAAUUGCCAAAGGUUUGUGUGUAUAGGAAGUUCUCUGCUUGCUGGCAGAAGGGCAAUAGAAAACGUGCCAAGUAAGCUUUGCUUGGCAUAAAGUCCUGAACUCUGUGAUCAGCUAUUGAGAAAGCCCUGUUUCACAUUCAUACCAGAUGUACAUUGAUGGUGCUAGAACUUCAAAUGUGGCCAGACUCAUGGAAACUCAACUACACAGAAUGAACUGCCUAUACAGGAUGCCAGAUGUUCUUACCCAUGGGCCUCUUUUAUUCCAAAAACUUGUUCCUACCCCUCU